rnacentral:lncRNA from 1 species
AGAGGGAGGAGUUAAGGAGACAGACAGAGAGAGAGAGAGAUCUGAGGAGAAGAGGGAGAACCAAAAUGGAGGCUGACGUGGUGUUAUCAAAGUGGAGUGACCAGGGCUGACAGGUAUUCUGACAUCUGCUCCCUGAGAGGUGACGUGGGAAGUCCUGCACUGUGAGUCCAUUGAGUAGGACACACCCAGGCCUCUUCUUUUCUCCAGGAUAUGUGCAAGAUGAGAGCCAGCCAUCGUCUCCUGAUAGUGGAGAUUUGAUCUGAAGCAUUCAAAUAGGAAAUGAAUGCUCAGAGGAAGCUUCAAAUUUCUUUCUACUUGAAGAAGCUGAAUUGCAGAAGCUAUCUCUGUCCUGUUAAUCACCGGGUCCACAGUGAAACCAGCCAACUUCAGAGAGUGAGUUAAAAGAGAGACUCUUGUGCUGCGUGACCCCUGACUGUAACCAAGUGUCCUUCUCUCUGAGACGUUCCCUCGGAGCUUGUUCUCACAGCCCUCACCUCCAGUGACCUCCACGAACUUUUCCACACGAGGGGUUCUCUGCUUCCCUCCAUCUGAGCUGCGCAAUUCCACCAGGCCUUUUGCUCCUCUUCAGUCAGGUGCUUUGGAGGUAAUGAAGUCUUUCGGGGGAAAAAUAAACAAAGGAAAUGCACCCGGUUGAUGUCAAUGGACUUGUUUAACUAUUUAAGGCCACUGUCUCCAAGUGUAAGUGUGCUGCGGUGUGUUUUGUAAAGUAGCGCUUAUAAUCCACUGAGCUUUCCAAACAGCCCUCUUGCCUAUUAAGCCUGCAUUGAGAAGUGGGUUUAAUUUGCCAGAGUAGUUUUUUGUGAUAAUUACAGGACUUGCAGAUUAGCUUGAGUGACUUGGCAAGGUUCUGUAGCUAAUAAAAAAUCACACAGGAAAAAAAUUGUAACAUUCAAUUGCUUCAAGGUUCUUCACGAGAGAAACAUUAAACAAACCUGAUAGGCCAGUUUCCAGUCUGUGAAGGGACUUGGAGGCAAGCCGGGAGAGAGGGAGGAGAAAGAGAUCGCCAUGAUGGGGAAGAAGGAAGAGGAGACCUAAAGGCCAGCUGACAUGACCAACGGUACUGUUGCUCUAGCUACAGGAAUAAUCCUGGGCAGCACUUGUUGACCUUGGUCACUGUCAAGGGAAGAUCGGCUGUUCCCACUGAGGGCAUCUUGAUGGAUUAAGGUGAUCAGCUGAUCAAUGUGAGGGGACAGAUGGGAGCUAGGAACUGUCUCGGUACUGAGUCAUUUUUCAUCUAAUGUGCAAGAAACCCAAAGAGCACAUCAAACAGCGAACUACGCCUAAGCUAUCCAUGUUUCUCCUGCUUCUUCUGAGAGGGUGAUUUACACGUAGCUCAACACUCGAGUGUUGCAGUAUCGAGUGACUGCAACCAAACAAUGGAACAUGCAUCGUGCCUGUUGACAGAGCCUGCAGUUGGCUUGGAACCGGGACCAUGCUGCAUUCGACAUCGUUCCUGGUGGCUGACUUGUUCCCAUAGAAUUAAAUGCUAGGCAUCCAGAAGCUGACUGUGCAUCUGAUGGGCUCACUAACAUUCAGGAACAGGUUGGCCUCAGACUUCAUCAAUGGAAAG